rnacentral:lncRNA from 1 species
CAGAAUUCUAGCAGGGCUCUCCUGCUAUUCAGAAAGUUACAACUGUGCCCUCUCCAGCAAAGUCUGGAUCUCAGCCAGCCCUAAGAGUGUGUCUGUGUCUUGGAGGAGCUCUUUUUGAGAUGCUGUAUCUCAGCCCUAGGGUGCAAGCCCAGAGGCAGUCUAUACCCCAACUCAACUGGCUGGUCCUCAAUGCUGCCUGCUUCCGUGCCCAACUUAGAACUACACAUCUGCUGCCUCUUGGUAACAUGUCAUUAUAAGGCUUCUUCAUCAGCCCUAACCCUGCCAACCACUCCUGCCUCACUGAAUGUGCCAACGGAUUGCUCAGCUCCAACCAAGGAAAAGAAGAAGGAAGUUGGAUACUUUAUACCCUCUACAUUGUCCAUUAGCAACACAACCUAGAGCUAGGAUGGAGAAAGAAAAUGCCAAAAUGCUAAUGAAAAAUGUUCAGAUGUAUCACAUAUUAAGCAUACAUGAUCUCAAAUAUUUUGCCUGAUUUAUGCUAUGCAUGCUAUUUUCCAUGUUGUGUAGGCUCUGAUGCUAGUCUACAUUUACAGAAAUCUCCAUCAGCUGUACAAAUGGCAAUUUAAAUACAUUUAACUAUGUGCUAAUAAUCUCAUAAUACAAUUUAUCAUGUAUGAUUGGCAGAAGAAAUUAUUUGGGGCAAAAGCUAUGAUUGUAUUGUUGUAAGUUAUUAUGAAUGCUGGGCAGUGUAGGGCAUGGCACUUGCUACCACCUCCCAGAAAUGUGUAAGGGCUGUUGAAGGUGCCUUGUUCUUCUUUCUUCUUCAAUAUAAGCAAAGCUAUUUAUAUCAUAAAGCUGAAACUUGAAAUUCCACCCUUGCCUAUUCUUUUUCCUCAGAAAGAUGUCUUUCUUUCUAAGAAUAUAUUGCACUUAAGGAUAGGAGGUGUCUCCUUUGGAC